rnacentral:rRNA from 1 species
GACGAACGCUGGCGGCGUGCUUAACACAUGCAAGUCGAACGGUAAGGCCCUUCGGGGUACACGAGUGGCGAACGGGUGAGUAACACGUGGGUGAUCUGCCCUGCACUUCGGGAUAAGCCUGGGAAACUGGGUCUAAUACCGGAUAGGACCCUGGGAUGCAUGUCCUGGGGUGGAAAGCUUUUGCGGUGUGGGAUGGGCCCGCGGCCUAUCAGCUUGUUGGUGGGGUGAUGGCCUACCAAGGCGACGACGGGUAGCCGGCCUGAGAGGGUGACCCGCCACAAUGGGAAUGAGAUACGGCCCAGACUCCUACUGGAGGCAGCGGUGGGGAGUAUUGCACAAUGGCCGCAAGCCUGAUGCAGCGACGCCGCGUGAGGGAUGACGGCCUUCGGGUUGUAAACCUCUUUCAGCACCGACGAAGCGCAAGUGACGGUAGGUGCAGAAGAAGGACCGGCCAACUACGUGCCAGCCGCCGCCGUAA